rnacentral:lncRNA from 1 species
UGUGUGUGUGAUUUUCAUUGGGGUUAUCGAGGGCAUGUGUGAAUCUGCAUAUCAUUGAUGAAGAGAAGGAGGAAGUGCUGCAAGUUAUGGGGAUUUCUGAGGGUCAAAAUAGAAUGUAUGAUCUUUGUCUCGUGGGUUGUUUCCUCACAGCCAGUGUGAUCUAAUUUCAGGUGAUGCGCAAUACUUUGGUAAAUCUUUGGCAUCAAUUAGAAUGCAUUAAGAUUUCAGAUUUGGGGGAAA